GAUGAACGCUGGCGGCGUGCCUAAUACAUGCAAGUCGAGCGAACAGACGAGGAGCUUGCUCCUCUGACGUUAGCGGCGGACGGGUGAGUAACACGUGGAUAACCUCCCUAUAAGACUGGGAUAACUUCGGGAAACCGGAGCUAAUACCGGAUAAUAUAUUGCACCGCAUGGUUCAAUAGUGAAAGACGGUUUUGCUGUCACUUAUAGAUGGAUCCGCGCCGCAUUAGCUAGUUGGUAAGGUAACGGCUUACCAAGGCGACGAUGCGUAGCCGACCUGAGAGGGUGAUCGGCCACACUGGAACUGAGACACGGUCCAGACUCCUACGGGAGGCAGCAGUAGGGAAUCUUACGCAAUGGGCGAAAGCCUGACGGAGCAACGCCGCGUGAGUGAUGAAGGUCUUCGGAUCGUAAAACUCUGUUAUUAGGGAAGAACAAAUGUGUAAGUAACUAUGCACGUCUUGACGGUACCUAAUCAGAAAGCCACGGCUAACUACGUG
rnacentral:rRNA from 1 species